rnacentral:lncRNA from 1 species
UAUUUUUUAUUUAUUUUAUUAUAUAGAGAUAGAAAGGAUUAGGGUGAUUAUAUGGGGACGCUUUGAUAAAGAGGAAAGAGCGGGAGAGAGAGAGAGAAGAUUAGGGUGUUUGUACCUCAUACUUUAUAGGGAGAGGAUUGGGAGGUUUGGAGGGAGAUACAUUUGGUGAGUGCGGUACUAAAAUUCAAGGUAUGAUUUGGCUAGAUUCCCCUGAUUUCAAAUUUUAGACAUAUAUUUGUUCAAACAGAGAAUAAGGGAUUAGAGAGAAAAAUGAGAACAGGGGUUUAGGUUCCAUCCCUUUUAGAGAGGAAAACCCCUUUUGACAGAGAUGAAUAAGGGGGGACCCCCUUAGAGAGAGAACUGGCGUUUGAUUUCUACCUCCUUUAAGUGAAGGAAAACAUGAAAUCGGUCAGAACUCGGAAGGUCCCAAGUCCGAGCCGUGUUUGACAGAUUGGGUUGAGUCUGUCAUGGACUUAGCCGAGUUUGUCCAAAAAAUAUAAUCAAACAAUGAUAACCAGAUAAAUUCUCCAGUUCCCAUGUGCAUGUUAGGUUACCGGUUAGCACCACAACUCUGCUCAGAGCACUUGCCAUCUUGCCAGGAUAACUUCUUCUGUGUUGUAAACUACUCCUCAUCACAAACCUAGCACCCAACCAUAAGCAAUAUGCUAUAGCGGCCAUCCCCAAGUACCUCCAUUCCCUGUUGUCGAGCUUAUGGCUCUCAUAAAUACAAUCUCAUAGUCUGAUCCAUGUUCACCUCAAACGACACGCGGUAGUCCAAGCAUAGCACCUAUGUCCCCAGCUCACUUGAGUUUUCAAACACCGGUGAUGAUCAAACAUUUGAAGCAGCAAGUGGGUCAUCUCCUAUGCCUGCAUCUUGUUCAUCAGAAGGUGCCACCAUUUUAUCGGAGGAGAAAGCGAGUCAGGUUUGUCUGAAUGAAACUAGCGCAAUCAGAGCUCUUGCAAGAGGGAACCAUUCUCGUGUUUGCAAGAGGAUGUCGGAGCCCUUAACGGGUUGAAGAGAUAGCGCUAAACAGGCCACGGUCACCAAUAAUUGUGAAUGGUAACUACUAAUGGCCAAGUUUGAGGAAAAAAUGCUUUGUUUCCUAAAGCCCCAUUCCUUGAACAGAGACCAUAUGAAUUUUUAUUUUCUCUUUUCUUCUGUAGAGCUUUCCAAUAUAGUUGGUUUGUAAGUGGGAGUGAAUCGGAGAUCGGAUCUUGCAGGGUUCAGUGGUUUUUGGAUCCUUUUUAUCCCUUCUCUCCUGCAAAACUUGAAUUUCGAAUCUGGGGAGAAAUGGGAGAUGAAGUCUUCUGGUUUCUAGGAUUCACUAUAAAACUUGGUUUUUAAUCUAAAUUAUGAAGGAUAUGAACAAGGACUUUAAGGAUUAUAACUUUCUUGGGCUUUGGGGUCUGCAGAAAUAUAACUUUCUUGGGCUUUGGUUUCUUUUCCCUGCGGGUUGUAUGAGUUUAUUUAUUUUUUUGUUGGUUAUAUUUAUGUGUUUCUACAUACGCAUCAAAUUGCUUUAAACUUUGACUGGGUACUGAAUUGACGUUUUUCCAUUGAUUUUUUUUUGUGUAUGUUUGAAAUCCAUUGUUGUUCCCUCUUAAUUUUGUCCAAUUUAUACAAAUAUCUGUUUUACUUUCGUUGAAAUCCAAGGAUGAGAGGUUUUUAUCUUCAUAUUGGGAAGUUAAUUGAGCAUUUUGUAGAAUUCCCAUACUUCGGGCAUUUAAAAAGGAUCCAUAGUGUAGACUGCAACUUGAUUUCAAGGUCUAUAUUCAUUUGAUAGCACUGAACUUGGAGUAUUUUGCUGCAUAAUGUUCGGAUUUUGUGAACAGAUACUUUGGAUUUUUGUUAUGUAUUUGUGCAAGGUCAAUCUGAAUUCUUCAUCUAUCUAUCUCUCUCUCUCUCUCUUUCUUUAUAGACUGUACUUUCUUGCUUUCAUGAGUUUCUCUAUUUCUUGUGAUGAAUUAUUUCUUUUUAUGAUCUCCGUAAGUUUAUGUUCAUGCAUUAUUUCUUUUGUUGGAUGAUGCCAAUUUUUUCUGAUAAAAAAAUAGCUAUAGCUAUUUUUUUUUUCUCGUGACUGGUAGUGUUUUUUUUAUUUGUAUGUUUGUGAAAUUACAUGCUAUAUUCUUUGAUGUACUAUGUAGUUUUACCAAAUUUUUGAAGAAAGUGCUUCAAGAACUAGUAUAGUUGAAAAUCUGGUAAAGAAAAAUGUGCAUGAGAUUUAGAAGUUGCAACGGAAAUGUGUACCUACAAGUUUAAUGGUUCUUUUAUGACAUUUUUUUCUUCGAAAGAAAUUGCAUUUGUUGUUACAAUAGAUGAUUUAGGUAUUGUAUGCCUUGUUUUUCUUCUAUUUCAUUACUUGUGUCUUCUCAUUAUGCUCUCUUUUAAUUUAUUUAUUUAAUUUUGCUGAUACCUAACUCCGCAUUGAUUGGCCCCAUGCUGAUCGUGAGGAGGGUUGCAUUUGGUAGGCAACCACCACAUUUUUUCACAAAUUUUGAACCCAUAGGCAGAGCAGGAUUUGUGUAGCUAACUCUAGAUAGUUGGGAUAAGGCUCGGAUGAAUCUUGCCGGUGUUGCAUUUUUGCUUUUCUUUACAUUAGCUGAGUGAACGAGAUAUUUGAUUUGGAGAACUUGUCUGGGAAUUUAUUGUAGGGAUUAAAAAAUUCAAUUUUUUUGGUAACUAACUAUGUUAGAAUCGAAGCUGCUAGGCUAAUUAUUUAUUUAUAUAUUAACUUUGAUAAGUUUGUGUGUGCAUGUUUUGUGAUAUUUCUGUUUUAUUUGUUUGUGGGCUUGCAUUCCUGGUCUUUCUGGUUCUUUUUUGGUGGUGUAUGAAUUACCCAUGUUGUCAUUUGUUAUUUUUGUCUUUCCUAAUUAAUGAAUACUAAGGCUUGAAUAGUAUUCAGCAUACCCAAGUCGUAGUUCAACUUGGCUUAAUCUUCAUGUGAGUUAUACUAUCUUGAGUAAUAAUGUUGUCUUGAGUUCUUUUUCUAGCUACAACACUUAGAAUAUCGUUAGGCUGGAUAUCAUGCACAUGAUGUAUAUGGUACGUUAGUUUAUGGUGAGUUCUAUCGUUUCAUGGUUCAUUGAAGUAUUUGUAUGUGUAUCAUCUAUUGGUCAUAGGCUCUACAUGUAUUCCAUCUCAUUGCUAUAACUCAUAGUAUAUAUGAAACUAGUUUUAACUGGUUUUCCUAACAGUUGGGAGUUGUCAAUUGGUUUGUGUUUGUAUAUUGAAUCCACAUUGGUUUUACAAAAGAGUUAAAAACAACCACCAUUUCUAUUUUUUGUGGAACGACAAAAUAGCACGUUGUCAAUUAAUACAAUUUUAAAUAAAAAGACUUCUAUCAAGAUAAUGUUUGCUAUGGAAACUUCUAUUUUGGGCUUUUAUGAUCUCAUAUUUCUAAUUCAUUUUGUUAAAGCAUAAAAUUCACCUUUUUGAAUUGUGCUGAUUUGGUGGCAUGGCCUUGUCUUCCUUUUUGGGAUUUUAGGGGGAGAAAUCAAGUUUCUCUUUGGUGAUAGCCUCUUCUUCCUUCUUGUUUUCUCUGAAAAUUUGAUGUUUUAUGAGUUUUUGACUUCUUGCGAGUUUUUAAUUGGUAAGGCUUUUGCGUGAGUGCGGUUGCAUGCGACGUCACGCCAAAACCGGAUCGAGGAACAUGAAUCCUUCUCUGUGAUGCGAAACAUCUACCCCUUCUCACCCCGAGACUGAAACCCUAACCUCCAAUGUUUUUUUUGUUUGUUUUGCACAAGUCAAAGGACUUCAGUUCACUUUGCAUUGAUCUUAUGUUGAAUUUUUUAAAACUGUUUGCCUUGUUCAGUUUUGUUGCUUUUCUUAACGUUUUGAUUAAUCUUGAGAAUUAGAUUUGCAUCAUAAUGACUUUUUACUGUGGG